rnacentral:rRNA from 1 species
GGGUCAUUAGGUUGGUCGUGCCACCGGUACGUACUGGUCUCACUGAUUCCUCCUUCCUGAAGAACCGUAAUGCCGUUAAUUUGGUGUUGCGGGGAAACAGGACUGUUACUUUGAAAAAAUUAGAGUGUUUAAAGCAAGCUAACGCUUGAAUACAUUAGCAUGGAAUAAUGAAAUAGGACGAUCGAUCCUAUUUUGUUGGUUUCUAGGAUUGACGUA